CGGAACGUGUCCUGUAGUGGGGGAUAGCCCGGCGAAAGCCGGAUUAAUACCGCAUACGCUCUACGGAGGAAAGGGGGGGAUCUCAGGACCUCUCGUUAUAGGGGCGGCCGAUGGCAGAUUAGCUAGUUGGUGGGGUAAAGGCCUACCAAGGCGACGAUCUGUAGCUGGUCUGAGAGGACGACCAGCCACACUGGGACUGAGACACGGCCCAGACUCCUACGGGAGGCAGCAGUGGGGAAUUUUGGACAAUGGGCGCAAGCCUGAUCCAGCAAUGCCGCGUGUGUGAAGAAGGCCUUCGGGUUGUAAAGCACUUUUGUCCGGAAAGAAAUCCUCUGAGUUAAUACCUCGGGGGGAUGACGGUACCGGAAGAAUAAGCACCGGCUAACUACGUGCCAGCAGCCGCGGUAAUACGUAGGGUGCAAGCGUUAAUCGGAAUUACUGGGCGUAAAGCGUGCGCAGGCGGUUCGCUAAGACAGAUGUGAAAUCCCCGGGCUUAACCUGGGAACUGCAUUUGUGACUGGCGGGCUAGAGUAUGGCAGAGGGGGGUAGAAUUCCACGUGUAGCAGUGAAAUGCGUAGAGAUGUGGAGGAAUACCGAUGGCGAAGGCAGCCCCCUGGGCCAAUACUGACGCUCA
rnacentral:rRNA from 1 species